CCUACGGGGGGCAGCAGUGAGGAAUAUUGGUCAAUGGCCGGGAGGCUGAACCAGCCAAGUCGCGUGAGGGAAGACGGCCCUACGGGUUGUAAACCUCUUUUAUAAAGGAAUAAAGUGAGGCACGUGUGCCUUUUUGUAUGUACUUUAUGAAUAAGGAUCGGCUAACUCCGUGCCAGCAGCCGCGGUAAUACGGAGGAUCCGAGCGUUAUCCGGAUUUAUUGGGUUUAAAGGGAGCGUAGAUGGGUUGUUAAGUCAGUUGUGAAAGUUUGCGGCUCAACCGUAAAAUUGCAAUUGAUACUGGCAGUCUUGAGUACAGUUGAGGUAGGCGGAAUUCGUGGUGUAGCGGUGAAAUGCUUAGAUAUCACGAAGAACCCCGAUUGUGAAGGCAGCUUACUAAACUGUGACUGACAUUGAUGCUCGAAAGUGUGGGUAUCAAACAGGAUUAGAUACCCUAGUAGUC
rnacentral:rRNA from 1 species